AUUGAACGCUGGCGGCAUGCUUUACACAUGCAAGUCGAGCGGAUGAAGAGAGCUUGCUCUCUGAUUUAGCGGCGGACGGGUGAGUAAUGCCUAGGAAUCUGCCUGGUAGUGGGGGAUAACGUUCCGAAAGGAACGCUAAUACCGCAUACGUCCUACGGGAGAAAGCAGGGGACCUUCGGGCCUUGCGCUAUCAGAUGAGCCUAGGUCGGAUUAGCUAGUUGGUGAGGUAAUGGCUCACCAAGGCGACGAUCCGUAACAGGUCUGAGAGGAUGAUCAGUCACACUGGAACUGAGACACGGUCCAGACUCCUACGGGAGGCAGCAGUGGGGAAUAUUGGACAAUGGGCGAAAGCCUGAUCCAGCCAUGCCGCGUGUGUGAAGAAGGUCUUCGGAUUGUAAAGCACUUUAAGUUGGGAGGAAGGGCAGUAAGUUAAUACCUUGCUGUUUUGACGUUACCGACAGAAUAAGCACCGGCUAACUUCGUGCCAGCAGCCGCGGUAACAC
rnacentral:rRNA from 1 species